rnacentral:sRNA from 1 species
AUGGACCACGCAUGCACUCCGGCCCCUCCGCGCCAUCCACAUUCACCUCACGACUGCUCGCUACCGCGCUUGGGCG